CAGCAGAAGAACCAGAUAUAACGACUUGGUAUGAUUGGACCCUCUACUCUACUAUGUUGAACAUCAUCAUUUAUCACAGCAAACAUGGAAAAUGUGCGAAACUUCACAUAUUCAAGAGUAAUCAAGGGACCAUCUUGUUUGGAGCCAUGUGUUUGGAAUUACCCAUGGAGACCAGUGAUCUUACCUGUUUAAUAUACAAUUGAAG